rnacentral:rRNA from 1 species
ACAUGCAAGUCGAACGGAGUACUCUCCCGAGACCGAGGAAGCUUGCUCCAAAGAAUCAUUGAAGUACUUAGUGGCGGACGGGUGAGUAACGCGUGGGUAACCUGCCUCACACUGGGGGAUAGCAGUUGGAAACGACUGAUAAUACCGCAUAAGCGCACAGUAUCGCAUGAUACAGUGUGAAAAACUCCGGUGGUGUGAGAUGGACCCGCGUCUGAUUAGCCAGUUGGCGGGGUAACGGCCCACCAAAGCUACGAUCAGUAGCCGGCCUGAGAGGGUGUACGGCCACAUUGGGGCUGAGACACGGCCCAAACUCCUACGGGAGGCAGCAGUGGGGAAUAUUGCACAAUGGGGGAAACCCUGAUGCAGCGACGCCGCGUGAGUGAUGAAGUAUUUCGGUAUGUAAAACUCUAUCAGCAGGGAAGAUAAUGACGGUACCUGACUAAGAAGCACCGGCUAAAUACGUGCCAGCCGCCGC